rnacentral:tRNA from 1 species
UGGGGCGUGGCCAAGUGGUAAGGCAGCGGGUUUUGGUCCUGUUACUCGGAGGUUCGCAUCCUUCCGUCCCAGA